AGCAAACUUAUAUGCACCCGCGCCUUUAGGAUUACCUUUAUGCUUUUUGGAAGACGUGUGUGUGUGUGUUUGGAUAACGUUAGAUGGGGAGGGGGCAUGCUAACGUUAGUUGCUUUCGGCUGUGAUUUAUCGCAGUCGGGGAACGCGGCUGCCGUUCCUGUCCUAACGCAUUUCAGCGCGCGCAUCAGCCGUGAUUAAACACCUGCUAUGGCGCGCGAACCAAGCGCGCUAAUCCAAUAUGUAUCUCUGACAUCUUAAAUAUCGUCCAAUCCCUCGGCAUCACGCGCAGCUUUUCCGCAAGAUGGAAUUCUAAAACAUAUUUUUCUAAUUUAUGGACGGACGAUAAAUCAAAAUUAAGCCGUGGACAAUGAAAUAUACAUCAGCGUGCUGAGAACAGGCCUGAAAUGCAGCUACAGGCGGAACGCGCGCGGGGUUUGCAGUGUGGUGUGUGGAUCUGCUUUAUGAAACAUCAGACAUGCUCAAGCCAAAUUCUGUCCCAACACAAAAUCUACCAUGCAUGCUGAAAUACCAUACUACUAUGCAACGGCUGGAACUGCAAUGUAAAAAAAAAAACCUUGCAUUUAUAGCGCUGUUAAAGUAGUUGUGUAAACAUUUUUAAAACAACAGUAGGCCUAUUAACAGUAGGCUAUCUGUGUGUAUGAAUCUGCUGCACUUAUUAUCUUUGCUUAGUUGCAUAUGCUUUAUUUAUUUUUUUAGAGAGAUUAUUAGGCCUAUUUAUUGUUUAACAGUAUUUACAAUAACUGUUAGUUUGGCAAAAGCAGGGUUACAUUUUCUUUUCACUCAAUUUUUGCUCAAAUCUUAGACAGACCUAUAACUGUAUUAUACCCUAGAUCUUAAAGUCUGCGGUUGCUUCACUAAACCUACAUGCUUCUGCAAGGUAUCUUGAGGUAUGAGAUCUUCUGUGAAUCGUUUCCAUCAAUGCAUCAGUCAAUCAAUCUUCACCAACACCACACGCCAUCAGCAACUCUCUUUUGUUGUUUCUUCUAAUGAAAACAGCUCUCUAUGAGAGUUCUGAUGAGUUCGAGUGAUGAACGAGGACACAGUUUGGUGAGAGCUGGUCUGUUUUGAUGGUUUGAGCACAUCUCAGCUGGUCAGGCAGGAACACCAUCUGGUAGACCACCAGCAAACAACUUUUUAGGCAGGUUUAAGAUAUUUGUUUCUGCAUGGUUUAUCAUAAUUAUUAAUAAUAAGAAAAAUUUUAGUAGUAGGCCUACUGUUGUUGUUCCUGGUGUACUUUAUUGCAGAAGUGUUAGCACUAGUUAAGUUGUUCUAUAUCCAUUUGGCCAUUUUAGUUGCUCUUUGUGAGAGAGGGAGAGGGAAUUUUCACUCAGCUUUUGCCUCUGUUCAGCCCCUGAGACAGGGGGAUGUGAUCAAUCUGCCACCUAUUAAGGCCGUUAAUUGAUAAUGCAUACUAAUUAGGCAGAGCUUUGGUGCUUUAGAGACUUUGAGGAGGUAGUUAUCGGCACAAGUCCAAAUGUAGUUUAAAAAGCAGUCUGUACGAGGUGAAAAAUUUCAUACUGCUGCCGGCGUGAGGGGCCUGUAAUGAACUGAACUCAUAAACAGGCUUAGUGCACAAGUACCAGUUAAAAGUUUGAGGGUACCAGUCCCUGGUUCCCCGUCCCUCAUCCGUACACAGCGUCCUUCGGCUCUCGCAGGUGCAUCAUGUGCCGCUGGAGCGGACAGAUGAAGAAGAGGAUAUUAAGUGACUCUAUCUAACAUCCAGGACACAAUGGCGGUGAUUGAUGGAGGACAAAGUGGGAACAGCAGGAUGGAGGAUGGGAGGGGGGUGUCCGUUGGGGGUCUCUGUCGAGAGCUGGUGCGGCGUCCCCGUCCACCGUGUUUACUCACUGAUGCUCUCAACAAGACAGCCAUUGACACUCGGAUGGAUGAAUCCCGAUCUGCCGCACGGAGCCAGAGGUUAGCGGGGCUGGAAAAUAGAGCUCCUCCACGACACGCUCCCUUCACCUAAUCUUCCGGCAAAAUAUUUAUCAUUAUCAAUUGGGGCCUGCUCUCUGACAUUAGAAUAGCACAUAUGGAUAUACCCCCGGAGGAUUAUCGAUCCGCCCGGCAGCAGCUUACACAGGCAGUCGUGAAAGACUCGGGGUCAUAUGGGACAAUAGGCUAAGAAUAAAAGCAUGGUAUAUCCAGCCCUCCGCUCGGGUUUAUUAAGUAAAACAAUGAAGCAAAUCACACCAGCAUGACACAGACAACCCACUAAAGC